rnacentral:rRNA from 1 species
CAGUAGCCGCGGGAAUACGGAGGGUGCAAGCGUUAAUCGGAAUUACUGGGCGUAAAGCGCACGCAGGCGGUCUGUCAAGUCAGAUGUGAAAUCCCCGGGCUUAACCUGGGAACUGCAUUUGAAACUGGCAGGCUAGAGUCUUGUAGAGGGGGGUAGAAUUCCAGGUGUAGCGGUGAAAUGCGUAGAGAUCUGGAGGAAUACCGGUGGCGAAGGCGGCCCCCUGGACAAAGACUGACGCUCAGGUGCGAAAGCGUGGGGAGCAAACAGGAUUAGAUACCCCGGUAGUCCCUGUCUCUUAUAU